GCGGGAAUAGCUCAGUUGGUAGAGCGUCUGCUUCCCAAGCAGAAGGUCGCGAGUUCGAGACUCGUUUCCCGCU
rnacentral:tRNA from 2 species